GUGCUUGCUUUGGCAGCACAUAUAUUAAAAUUAAAGAAUAAAAGAUUAACAUGCCCCUAUGCAAGGAUGAUAUACAAAUUUUUGAAGUUUUCUGUAUAUUU
rnacentral:snRNA from 1 species